GUCUUUUUGAUUAUAAUUUAAAGUCUAAUCUGCCCGCUGAGUUAUUGAAGGGCCGCAGUAAUUUGACUGUGCAAAGGUAGCAUAAUAAUUAGUUUUUUAAUUGAAAGCUAGUAUGAAUGAUUGGACGAGAAUAAAAUUGUCUUUAUUUAAUUUAAUUAGAAUUUAAUUUUUAAGUUAAAAAGCUUAAAUAAUAUUUAAAGACGAGAAGACCCUAUAGAGUUUUAUAUUAAAAAUUUAUUUAAUUAUUAUAAUUAUUAUUUAAAUUUAAUUAUAAUAUUUUAUUGGGGUGAUGGAAAAAUUUAUUAAACUUUUUUAUUAUUUAAACAAAAAUUUUUGAAUAUUUGAUCUUAAAUUUAGAUUAGUUGAUUAAAUUACCUUAGGGAUAACAGCGUAAUUUUUUUGGAGAGUUCUUAUUGAUAAAAAAGAUUGCGACCUCGAUGUUGGAUUAAGAUUAAAUUUUAAUGUAGAAGUUAAAAAUUUUAAGUCUGUUCGACUUUUAAAAUCUUACA
rnacentral:rRNA from 1 species